GACGAACGCUGGCGGCGUGCUUAACACAUGCAAGUCGAACGGAAAGGCCCUGCUUUUGUGGGGUGCUCGAGUGGCGAACGGGUGAGUAACACGUGAGUAACCUGCCCUUGACUUUGGGAUAACUUCACGAAACUGGGGCUAAUACCGGAUAUGAGCUCCUGCUGCAUGGUGGGGGUUGGAAAGUUUCGGCGGUUGGGGAUGGACUCGCGGCUUAUCAGCUUGUUGGUGGGGUAGUGGCUUACCAAGGCUUUGACGGGUAGCCGGCCUGAGAGGGUGACCGGCCACAUUGGGACUGAGAUACGGCCCAGACUGCUACGGGAGGCAGAAGUGGGGAAUAUUGCACAAUGGGCGGAAGCCUGAUGCAGCAACGCCGCGUGCGGGAUGACGGCCUUCGGGUUGUAAACCGCUUUCGCCUGUGACGAAGCGUGAGUGACGGUAAUGGGUAAAGAAGCACCGGCUAACUACGUG
rnacentral:rRNA from 1 species